rnacentral:lncRNA from 1 species
AUGGUGCAGUAAAGGGGAACUUAGUUCAAACACAUGUAAAAUACAGCUCACUGGGGUAGUCUGAACACCUGCAGAGAGGAACAUCUAAAGAGCUGUUAAGGUUCAGAGCUGCCCUAGACCACUUGAUCAAAACGUAGUGAGGAGCCGUGACAGCAGCACGGAUGGCGGCCCUAACAAUGAGAGGAACGUAAGGAUGUGGUUUGCUCUCGAGAAGGUCUUGAAAGGAGCUGUCACCACAGACUUUCAUUUUGUACCCCUGAAAUGGAAGUGAAGUCUAGGAAGUAGCUGAAGAGGUGCUGAAGACUCAACCACAAUGUCAACUUUGCUGAGUUCUCUGAUCCCAGCACUGAGAAGAACAGAAAUCUGUUUAAGGGACAGCCAUCAUAGAGGACAUACCACCUCAGAGCUUCGUAAUUGCUAAGGCUGCAGAGCUGGAAGCUGCUGUAGCAUCUAAACCUAAUGUGCUUGCUGGUUUGCAUAUUGUGGGCAUCUGGUUUUGAGCUGGUGUCUGAGUGAGCUGAGCACGACCAAGUUUUAGCAUAA